GAAUAUUGGGCAAUGGGCGAAAGCCUGACCCAGCCAUUCCGCGUGCAGGAUGACUGCCCUAUGGGUUGUAAACUGCUUUUACUUGGGAAGAAACCCCUUGUUUUAAUGGGGGCUGACGGUACCAAGGGAAUAAGCACCGGCUAACUCCGUGCCAGCAGCCGCGGUAAUACGGAGGGUGCAAGCGUUAUCCGGAAUCACUGGGUUUUAAGGGUGCGUAGGCGGCCUGGUCAGUCAGGGGUGAAAGUUCUCGGCUCAACCGAGGAAUUGCCUUUGGUACUGCUGGGCUUGAAGGAAGAUGAGGCAGGCGGAAUGUGGCAUGUAGCGGUGAAAUGCAUAGAUAUGCCAUAGAGCACCGAUUGCGAAGGCAGCUUGCUGGUCUUGUCUUGACGCUGAGGCACGAAAGCGUGGGGAGCGAACAGG
rnacentral:rRNA from 1 species